UACGAAGGGUGCAAGCGUUACUCGGAAUUACUGGGCGUAAAGCGUGUGUAGGUGGUUCGUUAAGUCUGUCGUGAAAGCCCCGGGCUCAACCUGGGAAUGGCGAUGGAUACUGGCGGGCUAGAGUGCGGUAGAGGAGAGUGGAAUUCCCGGUGUAGCAGUGAAAUGCGUAGAGAUCGGGAGGAACAUCAGUUGCGAAGGCGGCUCUCUGGACCAGCACUGACACUGAGGCACGAAAGCGUGGGGAGCAAACAGG
rnacentral:rRNA from 1 species